rnacentral:lncRNA from 1 species
UCCAUUUUUUUUAAUCACUCACCGUCACUCACAGCAACAACACUCACCCAAUUUUUCAUUCAUAGAACAAAUACACACCUCACCAGAUACAACAACACAAUUCGCACACCACGCUAAAGACAGAAAAAAGGAUCCUCACAUACACACAUACAGAAAAUACAUACACAGACGCCACACACACACUUACACACACAUACUCCCCC